AGAGUUUGAUCCUGGCUCAGAAUCAACGCUGGCGGCGUGCCUAACACAUGCAAGUCGAACGCGAAAGUGGAGCAAUCCAUGAGUAGAGUGGCAAACGGGUGAGUAACGCGUGGGCGACCUACCUUCGAGUGGGGGAUAACAUUCCGAAAGGAGUGCUAAUACCGCAUAACAUCCCGUGUUUAGAUACACGGCGAUCAAAGCCGGGCCGUAAGGUCUGGCGCUUAGAGAGGGGCCCGCGUCCGAUUAGCUAGUUGGUGGGGUAACGGCUCACCAAGGCUCCGAUCGGUAUCCGGCCUGAGAGGGCGGACGGACACACUGGAACUGAGACACGGUCCAGACUCCUACGGGAGGCAGCAGUGGGGAAUUGUUGGCAAUGGGGGCAACCCUGAUCCCGCAACGCCGCGUGUGUGAAGAAGGCCUUCGGGUUGUAAAGCACUUUUGUUCGGAAAGAAAUCGCUCUGGCUAAUAUCCGGAGUGGAUGACGGUACCGAAGAA
rnacentral:rRNA from 1 species